rnacentral:rRNA from 1 species
UACGUAGGGACCGAGCGUUGUCCGGAAUCAUUGGGCGUAAAGAGCGUGUAGGCGGCUCGAUAAGUCCGCUCUGAAAGUCCAGGGCUCAACCCUGGGAUGCGGGUGGAUACUGUCGGGCUCGAGUCCGGAAGAGGCGAGUGGAAUUCCUGGUGUAGCGGUGAAAUGCGCAGAUAUCAGGAAGAACACCCGUGGCGAAAGCACUCUGCUGGGCCGAUACUGACGUGAGGAGCGAAAGCGUGGGGAGCGAACAGG